UGAGGCCAGGACCCCCAGCAGGCCAGCCUCAGAGACACACCCUUCUAGGAGACAUCCUUCCCAAGGUGGCAGAGACACCAAGUCCUGGCCCAGACCUAAGCAACCAGAUAAGUAAAACUGUGGUUCAAAGAGGCCCUGGGACCACCUGCGAAGAUCCUGGGAUUCAUCAGGGGUCUGAACCUUGGAUCACACCUGCUCCGGCUAUUCUGAUGUCAUCUCCAUCUCCUGGAGACAGUUGCUGCAUGAGAACAAAGGCAGGGCCCAGACGAGGUCUGGAGGGAUAAGCGGCAGGGAUCUGGGCACUGAGCUGAGGCACUGGGCAGGCAGAGCCAUUGCCCUCGCCCCUACCAUGAACCCCUACAGAGAUGCUGCUAGAACCUUGCUUUCUAAGGGGUAGGAGGGUCUGGCUGCCUCUGCCUCUACUCACCCCAUAGACACACAGGCCUUCUCUCCAUCCAGGGAGAACAUAGCUGCCAAGAGCAGUCCUGCCCCCACACCAGGCUCCCCAGCAGUGAGGAGCUGGGCUGGGCUGUCCUCACCCGCCCUCUUGGCCUCACCCUGGCCCUUCCCUGGCCCUGCCUCGGGAUGCCAGGACCCAUAGCAGGUGCCUGGACAGGCUUGGGGAUGGAAAGGGGGCUGGGCACAGAAGGCCAGCUUCUGGCCAAGAACAGAACUCAUAGAGAAACAAGUUCCAGAAUCCUCUUCAUCCUCCUUUUCCCCACCCACUCUUUAGUUUUGUUAAUAAAUACAGCUACCAUAUACUAAGCACUUAUUGUCUUCCUUUGCA
rnacentral:lncRNA from 1 species